GACAACCCAGUGUGCAACUUGGCACUGUCAGAAGAGACCUGGGAAAGAAAGAAAAUGCGGUGGAGGCUUGGAUGAACACAGGAAGAUUAUGGAGCAACACUUGAAGCCCAAAUGAAGCUCAGGACCCAGAGACUUCUCAAAACUUGUCUUCAAUGCUCGAACUCUUCUGCAGCCACCUGUUUCUACUGGAGUUUAGCCAGUUUACAGAGUUGACCUUCUCUAUUGCAUCUGAUGUGGAUGAUGUGGUUAUUGUCUCAUAUCUGCAAAGCACAUUAAAGUUUAAUGCACACGUUCAUGAGAUUUCUUUGAUUGAAUCCUCACCACUGGGAAAACACAGAGAAAGCAUAUUUCCCCUUUUACAAGUGAGAAAAUAUGAGACUCGGCGUAGCUAAGAAAAUUGUCCAGUAUCUUAUAGCAAGUAAGUGACAGACAUGGACACUAAAUUCAUUCCUUCUAAUUUUAAAGUCUUAUGCUUGA
rnacentral:lncRNA from 1 species